CAGUCGAACGAGUUCUCGUUGAUGAUCGGUGCUUGCACCGAGAUUCAACAUGGAACGAGUGGCGGACGGGUGAGUAACACGUGGGUAACCUGCCCUUAAGUGGGGGAUAACAUUUGGAAACAGAUGCUAAUACCGCAUAGAUCCAAGAACCGCAUGGUUCUUGGCUGAAAGAUGGCGUAAGCUAUCGCUUUUGGAUGGACCCGCGGCGUAUUAGCUAGUUGGUGAGGUAAUGGCUCACCAAGGCGAUGAUACGUAGCCGAACUGAGAGGUUGAUCGGCCACAUUGGGACUGAGACACGGCCCAAACUCCUACGGGAGGCAGCAGUAGGGAAUCUUCCACAAUGGACGCAAGUCUGAUGGAGCAACGCCGCGUGAGUGAAGAAGGCUUUCGGGUCGUAAAACUCUGUUGUUGGAGAAGAAUGGUCGGCAGAGUAACUGUUGUCGGCGUGACGGUAUCCAACCAGAAAGCCACGGCUAACUACGUGCCAGCAGCCGCGGUAAUACGUAGGUGGCAAGCGUUAUCCGGAUUUAUUGGGCGUAAAGCGAGCGCAAGCGGUUUUUUAAGUCUGAUGUGAAAGCCCUCG
rnacentral:rRNA from 1 species